AGAGGAGUCCUUACGAAGAGAGAGGCAGAGAGUCAGAGCUGGAGACCAGCAUGUGAGAACGGAAGCAGAAGCUGAAGUGCUGGGGGGCCACGAGCUGAGGAAUGCAAGGAGCUUGUAGAAGCUGGAAAAGGCUAGGAACGGAUUCUUCUCUAGAGUGUCCAGAAGGAACACAACUCUGCCAUCACCUUGUUUUAAGUCGAGUGAGACUGAUUUUGGCCUACUGACCUCCAAAACUAUUCUGCAGAGCGUCCACCCAAGAGGCCAGCCAGCUGUUACCCAUCCCUUCCGAGACGGUUGUUUUUCUGAAUUGAGAGAACAUCUGACCAGGCAGUGUUCAGCCAGAGAUGAGGGGUUUCCCAAAGAUGUACUAUGAAGAAGGUACCCAUGGGAGUAUCUGAAAUGAGCACUGCUUCCUGAGACGGUAAGUUUGAGUUGGCAUCUUCGUACAGCUGAACGCUACACUGGGUGCCAGAAGCUAACAAUCUGACUGAGCAGAAAAAGGGAACUGGACAAGGACUGCUGUGACGGGAGGGCUGCCUGACAAGAAGAGGAGCGCGAUCUUGGCCUUGGACUAACAGGAUGCUGAUG
rnacentral:lncRNA from 1 species